GCCUCAUUUUUCCUCAAGUGCUUUUAGAUUGCCUUCAACCACUGUCUGUGAAUCUUCCUCACUGUCUGUCUAUCUGUCUCACUCUUCUGUCCCUGUGUACUGCAGUGUGGAGAAAGAAAGAUUAUUUACUCUCCUCACUGCUGUAUGAAUAAACGUUUGAUUGAGGGAUGUAGAGGCAGAAUGUAUAGAAAAUACAUUAAUGAAAUUAUAUGAAUUGCCAAUUGGAUUCAUUCACACCAUUUUACAUGAUGCAAGCAAUACAUGUCCAAGAGCACUUGCUGUUUUAGUUUUUAAAUUUCACAAAUAUAAAUAAAUAAAUAGUUCAAAUGCAAAAAAAAUUCAUGAUAAACACUCACCCUUGUGUCAUUUCAGACCUAUAUCUCUUUCUUCUGCAGAACACAAAAGACAAUAUUUUGAAGAAAUGUUGGUAGCAGAAAAACGUUGGUCCCCAUUGACUUGCAUUGGUUUUGUGUCCAUACAAUAGAAGUCAGUAUCAAGAAAGAAAAUCACAAAACAAGGCCAUCUUUAACUAGAGCUCCCAUGAUGCCUCGCCGUGAGACAGAACCCUGUUUGUGGGCGGUCGUAGUGGCGUAGAUGGAAUUCUCUAUUGAAGAUUGGUUUUGGAAUUUGAAUGGAAGUGUGGGACCGGCGGCGUGAAUUGGCGAGAUUGAAGUGAGAUGGGUUUUAGAGGAUGAGAUGUGUAUGUGUGUGUUGACGCAUAAAGGACCCUGUGUGCCCCUGGACUGAUGCUGCCCGUGUAGAAGUCGACUAUUCAGAAAAAAAAGAAAAAUUUCUAAAGAUGCCACAACUAAAAACUCUAUGCAUGAACACCCAGAGAGCUCUUUUUGUUUCCUGCAUACAUAAGCACAGGAGGUCCACUCAUCAAACUGGCAGAAUUGUUCACUGAGACGGAGCCCAGUUGUGCCAAGGUACAUCAGUAUACUGCACCUGUCAGGAGGCUGCAGGCGGAAGACUCGCUGUUUGACCUGCAGCUCACUCUAUUGUCACAUCCAGCAUUGCCCUUUGGGUGAAGAGUCUGAUUGGCCGGUGUGGAUAUAGCCGGGCUGUCACAUGCUCCUGUGUAGAAAGUGUGAACGGGCCUGGGGCAAGAAGAGGGGGUGCAAGCAAACAGGAUGACAAGUGCCAUACCAUCCUGUGAGAUGUGCCAAGACAGAAUGAGCAUCUGUCAAAACACGUCGGUCCCAGAGGACGCUUCUCUGAUGGACGCAGACAUGCAGGAGAGAGAGAGCGUGAGACAGCAAUGUAUUGUGGGACGGGUGGGGUCUCCUACCUACCUGAUGCUCCAAGUUUUAUCCUCACAAACGUGGGUCUACUGCCUCGAUUCGUUCUCUUGACUGUGAUGGCGUGUAGCUACUGGCAUACUAAUGAAUUUCACAAUAGAGUGGGAACGAGAAGCGAAAUGGAAAUGAAUGCUCUUGCUGAAAUUACAAUUAAGUAAAAACAACACAUUUGGUUCCUCUUUGCUGCCCUAUGCAUCUCCACAAGAUCUGUGGCAUUUGAAUUGCAAAGGACUGUUUAAUAUUGCCUGUGCAAAUACAACCAUAGUGUGAAUGAACUCGGUGCCCCUGAGUAGCUUUUGACCUCUUCUGCUAGACCAGGAUCCAUUUUAGCACAUCCAAUCGUUGUAAUUUUGCUUUACUGUGAUUGAAAAUGUACUUGGUAGUGUUAACGCUGUUAAAAAAUUAUGGUGAUGAAGAACAUUUCUAGGUUUUUCUUCAAGCAAUGCUGAAAUGACAUUUAUCAGGGCCGUGUUGGGUACGGUAUACGCAGUUUUAUGUGACUACAGCGGUAUUUAAUAAUAAGUUUUGUUGUACAGUACUUAGAUUGUGUUUCCUUUGCACGAGUGCUGACUCUGUUCCUCUUGGCCACAGGCAACUCGGGCUGCGCGCACAGUGGGAGAUCUUCUAAAAAGACAAUGUUACAUUACCAUUGCAAACACAGUAAAGCACACCAUGCUAGAAGCGUUAAUUACGCCCCCAGACAUUUAGCAGCGCCGCGCGGCCUCGCUGAUGUUAGUAAGGAUAGGACAGAUUUAUGUAUCUCUUCAUUUCUUUUUCAGUUUAUCAUUAAAUAGUGCUUUAUUUAUUUUAUUAUUUUUAAUAUAUAUAUUAACGAAUAAACAAUGGGG